UACAGAGGGUGCGAGCGUUAAUCGGAAUUACUGGGCGUAAAGCGCACGUAGUCGGCUUUGCAAGUCGGUUGUGAAAUCCCCGGGCUCAACCUGGGAACUGCAUCCGAGACUUCAUUGCUAGAGUAUGGGAGAGGGAAGCGGAAUUUCUGGUGUAGCAGUGAAAUGCGUAGAUAUCAGGAGGAACACCUGUGGUGGAGACGGCUUUUUGGACCAUUGCUGACGCUGAGACACGAAAGCGUGGGUAGCAAACAGG
rnacentral:rRNA from 1 species